rnacentral:rRNA from 1 species
UUUAAUUGAAGAGUUUGAUCAUGGCUCAGAUUGAACGCUGGCGGCAGGCCUAACACAUGCUAUUCGAGCGGGAAGCGAGAGGAGCGUGGGACUUUG